rnacentral:rRNA from 1 species
GACGAACGCUGGCGGCGUGCUUAACACAUGCAAGUCGAACGGAAAGGCCCUGCUUUUGUGGGGUGCUCGAGUGGCGAACGGGUGAGUAACACGUGAGUAACCUGCCCUUGACUUUGGGAUAACUUCAGGAAACUGGGGCUAAUACCGGAUAGGAGCUCCUGCUGCAUGGUGGGGGUUGGAAAGUUUCGGCGGUGGGGGAUGGACUCGCGGCUUAUCAGCUUGUUGGUGGGGUAGGGGCUUACCAAGGCUUUGACGGGUAGCCGGCCUGAGAGGGUGACCGGCCACAUUGGUCCUAAGGUACGCACCAGACUCCUACGGGCGGCAGCGGGGGGAAAUAUUGCACAAUGGGCGGAAGCCUGAUGCAGCAACGCCGCGUGCGGGAUGACGGCCUUCGGGUUGUAAACCGCUUUCGCCUGUGACGAAGCGUGAGUGACGGUAAUGGGUAAAGAAGCACCGGCUAACUACGUG